rnacentral:snRNA from 1 species
GGCUUUGCGCAGUGGUUGUAUCAUAGCCCAUGAGGUUUAUCUGAGAUGUGAUUAUUGCUAAAUGAAAGGAAUAUUAUACAUAAUUACCUUAUAUUAACCUCCAAAAACAAACUUGAACUGUGCCUGUGUUUAUGCAUAUUAUAAAAUA